GCCCACACACAAAAAAUUUAGCGAAAGCACGAAAUCUACUCUCUAUUAUGGCAUUGCUUAAGAUUAAUUACUUUUUCGUUUUUCUUCUCAUGGCAACAAUUAUCAACUUGUCGUGGUUCUCAGAGAUUCAAGGAGUAGCUGCACGUGAUAUUGAUCAUGGUCUUUCAGGACUCAAGAAGAGACUACUUCCACAAGUCGAUGAUUAUAUUUUUACUUGCUAUAGGCCUUGUACAGAAGACAAAGAAUGCAGUGAUUGCGCUCUUUGUUGUUCAUGCCAUGGCCCUGAAGGUUUCAAGAGUUGUAGCUUCUGGUAGUACAAUUAUAUUAAUGCCCAAAAUAAAGAAAAAUCCCCACAAAUAAAAUUAAAUCCCUUAUUAUAUUGUGGUGUUUCCUUCAUCUUUUCUUGCUUCCUUGUAUUUUAUGUUUUGUAUGAAUAAAGAAAAAGUCAAGUGAAUGACUUUUCAAAGUGUU